ACUACAUGAAAACCAUAGGUGACAGUGA
rnacentral:guide_RNA from 1 species